UGAAUCUCCUGAUUUCCUCAUCUGCGAGCUACGACCGACAAGUUAACCGAAGUUAACUUAAUAGACAACUCUAUUUUUCCUCCUCUUGAGAAGAUUAUUUUGUGGGCACUAGAGGCGUGGAAGAACCCAAUUGAACAUCAUUAAUUCAUUAUAAUUGUCCAGUAACAGCUAAAAUGUCUCUUGAUGAAAAAUUCAAUAAAGCUGCCGAGGAUAUAAAAGCCUUGACUGCUAGGCCUACUGACGAUGAACUAAAAGAAAUUUAUGCGUUAUUUAAGCAAGCCACUGUUGGAGAUGUUAACGUUGCACGACCUGGAAUGUUGGAUUUUAAAGGGAAAGCCAAAUGGGAUUCCUGGGAAUCAAAAAAAGGCAUGUCCUCAGAUGCAGCCAAAGAAGCAUAUGUUGCAAAGACAGAAGAACUGCUGGCUAAGUAUAGUGCAUGAUGUACUUCUAGUCGAAUAGGGGAGGAAAAUCUCAUCUCAUUGUAUAGUGCUCACACUGGAAGGUGUCUUUUUCUCCCUUACAUUUUCAGAGUACUUCAAGGAUGAGGAUUUUUAAAACCAUACAAACUUGCAAAAAUUUCUGAUCCAGUAAAAUGCAAAAAACACA